rnacentral:rRNA from 1 species
CGUAUCACCCAAGACAACUUUACGGAGUUGACGAUUGACGGAGCGAAGCGACGUCAAAGCGUUCAUUAAAGUCGAGUUGGCUUAGGGAUACGUUCGUUGGGUAGGGGAGCGUUCUGUAAGCCUGUGAAGGUGUGUCGUGAGGCAUGCUGGAGGUAUCAGAAGUGCGAAUGCUGACAUAAGUAACGAUAAAGCGGGUGAAAAGCCCGCUCGCCGGAAGACCAAGGGUUCCUGUCCAACGUUAAUCGGGGCAGGGUGAGUCGACCCCUAAGGCGAGGCCGAAAGGCGUAGUCGAUGGGAAACGGGUUAAUAUUCCCGUACUUGGUGUUACUGCGAAGGGGGGACGGAGAAGGCUAUGUUGGCCGGGCGACGGUUGUCCCGGUUUAAGCGUGUAGGUGUGUGUUCCAGGUAAAUCCGGUUCACUUUAACACUGAGGCGUGACGACGAGGCACUACGGUGCUGAAGCAACAAAUGCCCUGCUUCCAGGAAAAGCCUCUAAGCAUCAGGUAACAUCAAAUCGUACCCCAAACCGACACAGGUGGUCAGGUAGAGAAUACCAAGGCGCUUGAGAGAACUCGGGUGAAGGAACUAGGCAAAAUGGUGCCGUAACUUCGGGAGAAGGCACGCUGACACGUAGGUGAAGUGAUUUACUCAUGGAGCUGAAGUCAGUCGAAGAUACCAGCUGGCUGCAACUGUUUAUUAAAAACACAGCACUGUGCAAACACGAAAGUGGACGUAUACGGUGUGACGCCUGCCCGGUGCCGGAAGGUUAAUUGAUGGGGUCAGCGCAAGCGAAGCUCCUGAUCGAAGCCCCGGUAAACGGCGGCCGUAACUAUAACGGUCCUAAGGUAGCGAAAUUCCUUGUCGGGUAAGUUCCGACCUGCACGAAUGGCGUAAUGAUGGCCAGGCUGUCUCCACCCGAGACUCAGUGAAAUUGAACUCGCUGUGAAGAUGCAGUGUACCCGCGGCAAGACGGAAAGACCCCGUGAACCUUUACUAUAGCUUGACACUGAACAUUGAGCCUUGAUGUGU